GUGGGUAUAGCUCAGUGGUAGAGUGCAUGCCUAGCACGCACAGGGUCCUGGGUUCAAUCCCCAGUGCCUCCA
rnacentral:tRNA from 1 species